GAUGAACGUUGGCGACGUGCCUAACACAUGCAAGUCGAGCGGAGAAGCAGAGAGUGAACUUUUCGGAGGGAACUUUUUUCGGAUCAGCGGCGGACGGGUGAGUAAUACAUGAGGAACCUGCCCUCUACAAGGGGAUAGCCGGGGGAAACCGCGAUUAAUACCCUAUGAGACCACGAUAGCGCAUGCUUUUGUUGUUAAAGCUUUAUCGGUAGAAGAUGGCCUCAUGACCCAUUGGCUAGUUGGUGAUUUAACAGGACACCAAGGCGACGCUGGGUAGCCGGCAACAGAGAGUGAACGGAGACACUGGAACUGGGACACGGUCCAGACUCCUACGGGAGGCAGCAGUGGGGAAUAGUGCACAAUGGGGGGAAUCCUGAAGCAGCGACGUCGGGUGAGCGCAGAAGGCAGUCGGGUAGUAAAGCUCUGUUAUAUGGGAAGAAAAUGACGGUACCAUAGAAGGAAGCCCCGGCUAACUACGUG
rnacentral:rRNA from 1 species